AACCCAUGCAUCAUAACACGGCUAUAUGUGGUUAUUGAUUGUGAAGACCAAGAAACUUAAUAAGAAGAACGCCUGAAAUGAAAUGGAGCAGAUGAUUAAGUUAAAUCACCGAGUGUCUCUGCAGCUCAAGGUGCCGGGGAAACUGCGGCGGUCG